rnacentral:rRNA from 1 species
AUGAUUAGGCUGCUCCAGACCAUAGACAACGGAUGGUACAUAACAGAGCAUCGAGGGAAGCAUAAUCGUGUAAUGGCAAGAAGUUGUGGAGAGAUGGCGCACUGGCCAUCUCACGAGCAUAUUGAUGGCACACUGGCGAGUAGAUGUCAUACUCAAUGCUUUCCUCAAAAUAAUCACUUAAGAACAGAGGAUAGCUUUCCUGUUUGA